rnacentral:lncRNA from 1 species
UCAAGAAGUGGUUAAAAAAAAACAGCAACAAAGCUAUUUCUCCUAUUGACAACUCCACCCGGCACCUUCUCUCUUGAAAUUCCAAUCCCUCAUUUUGGCCAAGAGCAAGGAAGGUUUGAGAUUUUCUGUUUGAAGUUAGUCAGCUGGACUUCUGUUCAAAGGCUAGCAAAAGCUAGCCUUUAGCUAAUGUUUAAAUUCCUAAGUAAUUUAACAGAGGUAUCAUAACCCAUCUCUUCUAUAUUUAUGAAGAUGAAAUUUUGUUUGCAAGGCAUGUUAGCUAAAUUGAAAUGAAAACAAAUAACCCUAUGGGUUGAAUAGCUAUGUAUGAUUAGUUUGAGAUAUUGGUGAUUAGUCAUAGUGUUCUGUUUAAUAUAGAUGAAUAUGUAAUGUUACAUAUUACUUUUGAAUCAGAGAAAUUGAAAUAUUUCCUAAUCAAACGAAUUAAAUUUCAAGGAAAUUGAACUUUUGGAAAUGAAAGAAACUAAUUAGUGACUAAGGUUAUGGCUUUGCGUAUUUUUAGUUGCUUAUAGAACUGUUAUGGACUGAAUUUAGGCACAAGGAGAUAGGUUAGGCUGAGGAGUAAUAAGGAGGCUAACAUGGAUUUAUAGUACAGUAAAUAGCUAUGAAUCAUGUAGUAUAAAACAGUGAGCACAAGGUGUUCCAUAAAAGUUCUAAAAGAACUGUUUUGGCUAAAAAUUAAAUUUUAGACCAAACUAAAGAUUGAGUUAUGUAUAUACACCAUACAUGUCAUUAAGAAAGGUGUUAUAGCAUAUUAGAAUGAAACAAACUUCUAUAUUAAGCCAAAGUGAAAGUUAAAUCAUGAUAUGUCAAGCUAUUUUGACAAACUGUUUUGGACAGUUAAAGGAACUUAAAGAUCAAGUCUAAUAUGGUACCUUCACCAUUUCCAAAUUUGGGCCUAAACGAAUAUAAUAGGUAUCAAAGGUUACAAGGUAUUGAAAAGGGGAGGGUUGAGAUUGGAAAAGAGACUGCCGAGGCUGCUGCAGGCAGUAGCAGCCAGCGUGCUCAGCGCUGCAGAGCCCGACACUCGGUCGAUCGCGAGCCCGGUUUGUAAAUGUAAUUCAAUGACUGCAAUUUGUGGGUUAACUUAGAAGGUGGGUAUAUCAUUUAUAAAUUUCUGGAAAUAAGUUGUAAAUAAACUACCUAAUAUGAAGCCAAAAAUGGCCUGAGAUGAGGAGCACAGCUGCUGCCCAUUGGCAGCAGCAUUUCGCUGCAAACAGCAGCAGGAAGCGUGUCGCAGCAGCAAAAACAGUGGCCUUGAGUGGCACUAGCAGUUUUUUUUUCUCUUGGCCUAACUGGUAGGUAAGAAUAUCAAGAGUUGUGUCACAAGUAACAUGUCAAAACUUCACAUGGAACUAGGGAAUACAUUUUUUUUCAAAGCAAGGGUAAUGGAUGCUGCCAUUGGCAGUAGCAGUGGGGCUGGAAACAACAACAAAAAAGCUGCUACUGUAGCAUUGUGGAACCCUCUUUUGUUUCCAAAUUUAGUCUAAUAGCUUACCUUUAUGAAUAUUUUUCGAGCGAGGAUUGCGGAAGACGUCCACAUGUUGACUGGACCAACCCAUAGAGGAUUUCCUUUGAUGGUGGGGUAGAGCAACAUGCUGGUAGUUUCUUCCAAGAAUAAACACAAUCCUAAUAAAAUGGAGAUUUGUCGGGCUAAACUUCUCGAGCUCUCGGCAAGUUUUCUUUUUUGGGUCAAAUGUCAAAUAAUAUAUUAAUCAACAUCACAAUAUCAUAAUCCUUUUUGAAUGUCUACCUUCAUUGCACUCUUUUGAAUGUUCAUUAAGCUAUUUUGAUUUAAUUAACGUUCUAUCUUUUUUUUCGUGUUAGUUCGAGUGGAGGCUUUUCAAUAGGUUUGAGGCAAGUUUCUUAUUUCAAAAGCCUGAUCUCUGUCCCUUCAAGUUCGGGAAGACGGAGGAUCAGGUUAUCCCUCGGAAUGAUAUUUUUGUUCCUUACCACAAGGAUAGGAAAAGUAAUAAAACAACUGAUUAUAGAAUAAUCUGCCGUAAGGAACUCAAUGAUUGGGAAACAAGACGUUCAAAACUUGUUUUCAAAUUGAAGAUGGUAAUGUGUAUUUUAGAUGUUUUCUGUUUUAAGCUAAUUCAUUUAUACCUUUUUACUUGUUUUAUUUGUUUAACUCAUUAGCUCAUUUAUGAUUGACACAGUCCACGGAGGAAAUUCACAACGAGGGAGAAUCUGGUCUUGAAGCAACCAAUACUCAUGUGCAAG